AACGCGAAGAACCUUACCUGGGCUCGAAAUGUUAUGGACCGGGGUAGAAAUAUCCCUUCCCCGCAAGGGGCCGUAAUAUAGGUGCUGCAUGGCUGUCGUCAGCUCGUGUCGUGAGAUGUUGGGUUAAGUCCCGCAACGAGCGCAACCCUUAUCUUCAGUUGCUACCAUUUAGUUGAGCACUCUGACGAAACCGCCUCGGAUAACGGGGAGGAAGGUGGGGAUGAGGUCAAGUCAGCAUGGCCUUUAUGUCCAGGGCUACACACGUGUUACAAUGCGCGCCACAAAGCGUCGCGAACCCGCGAGGGGGAGCUAAUCGCAAAAAAGCGCGCUCAGUUCGGAUUGCAGUCUGCAACUCGACUGCAUGAAGCCGGAAUCGCUAGUAAUCGCAGAUCAGAACGCUGCGGUGAAUACGUUCCCGGGCCUUGUACACACCGACUGUAC
rnacentral:rRNA from 1 species